UACGUAGGGUGCGAGCGUUGUCCGGAAUUAUUGGGCGUAAAGAGCUCGUAGGCGGCUUGUCGCGUCGUCCGUGAAAACUUGGGGCUCAACCCCAAGCUUGCGGUCGAUACGGGCAGGCUAGAGUUCGGUAGGGGAGACUGGAAUUCCUGGUGUAGCGGUGAAAUGCGCAGAUAUCAGGAGGAACACCGGUGGCGAAGGCGGCAUUCUGGACCGAUAUUGACGCUGAGGAGCGAAAGCCAGGGGAGCAAACGGG
rnacentral:rRNA from 1 species